CUUGACAUUGCGGGAGACAUCUUAAUUGGCCACAAAGGGUCGAGCCGUAGAAAUUCGCUGAUAAAACGUCUAACAAGAAUUGAUAUAAGACCAAUUCAAAUUCCAUGGAAACAAUAUACACAACAUUAUCCCAGAAAUCCAUGGCUAUGUUAAUGUUUUGUCCUACAAAUAACUCUAGCGGGCAUCGAUCUCGGUGAUGGUCACGUCAUUUAAAGAACCAUUUUGUACUCCUGGCUCGGACAGAUUAGAAUCACUGCAAUUUCUUUUGAAAAUGAAUGCUGGUUGUUUAGGACUGGGAAGGAACGUUUCACCGUUUAGCAUUAGAACAACGUUUGGCAUAGUGGGUCUAUCUCUUGCAUCUUCUUGCACACACAAUAGCCCGAU
rnacentral:misc_RNA from 1 species